CGGCCGGCGCGGGCCCUCAGCCGGCCAGCCCCCCCGCCGCGGCGCCUGUCAGGCGGCGGCCCUUCAUGGCGCCCCUCACGCCCUGCCUCGACUCCCUGCGUCCGCUCAGGGGGCAGGAGACGGCCCGGGGUGAGGGUACAAGUAGGAUUGCAUUUCCUGGCUUCCUUGUAGCUGGGAUGAGCCACGUGACACAUUCUGCCAUGAAUUGUGAGCCUAGCAUCUAAUUGCUGAUGCAAGACCUUCCGGAACUCUUUUUCCCUUUGCCAUGGCAAUCAACAAUGUUCCAGAGAGUAUAUGCUCUCCCACUCUUGAGAACUACUGCUCUGAAAAAAAAAGAUUUCUUCCAAAAUAUGUCUUCUCACUGACAAUGCACCUGAUCGUCCAAGAGCUCUGAUGGAGAGAUGCAAGAUUCAUGUUGUUUUCAUGACUGCUAAUACAACAACCACUCCGCAGCCCGUGGAUCAAGGAGAAAUUUCAACUUAAACUGCACAGCCACCCUGACCUUCAGCAAGCAGCAACCUGUUCAGUCAUCAGUGACUCACAUGAAGGCAAGACACUCCACCAGCAAAAAAGAUACGACUUGCCAAAGACUCAGAUGAUGGUUAGCAUUUUAUAGUAAUAAAGUGUUUUUUUAAGUAAGGUUACAUUUUUACUGGUGGAUGUAUCAUCCUGUCCUUUGGAGAUCCUUUCAUUAUAAUGUGACUGCUGUUUUUGGAGGGAGACUAUUCAACACAGACUGCUUGCCAUGCUGUCUGGAUGCCAGGACCCAGCCAGCCCGCCUCUGCUCCCAGCAGGCUGGUCUCACCCACCCCUCACUUCUACUCUGCACUGGCAGGAGGUGAGCCUGCCUCUGGAGGGAGUGCAAUGGAGUGUACUGGCUCACCUCUCCGUGCUUUGGAACUAAUAGCAUCAUGAAGCCAGAGCCAGCCUGAGAUUGUGUUCCUGGACCCACCUGCCCACCAGGCCUGCAGCCGAUUUCGCACUGAAGCUCAAUGCAGAGCAGCACUGCCUUGGCACUGGCCCCAUCUCCCAGCUGUGGGGGCUGUCUCAUGCUCCCCCAAAGAUAAGGGUCAUACAGGAGAGCUUCCGGAAGGGCAGCUGCAGCCCCAACCAGAUUCAAAGGGACCCAUGGUUCUGACUCCUCCCACCACUUCCCAGCUCAGAGGGAGCAGAGCCCUGGGUCCCUGUUUUGUGGGCAGAGGGACUGACUUCCCAGGGCUGCCUGGAUGGACCAGGUAGCACAACCUGGAAGUACUGUGGUCCCUAAUAGCCAGAGGGACAGGAUGGAGUCAGAUCACCUUAAGGAUGUACUAUAGUCCAAAGGGACUAGUUGUUUCAUAAAAACAUAUGACUUAAAGUCCCAAGCAAAGCAUCCUGUCAACUGAGUCCACAUCUGUCUCUGCUGACAGGUCUGUGAUCUGUCCCUGUCCCCUGGGACCAUCUUCCUUCCUCAGUAGAGAUGCAUCCUGCCUCUGAUCAGGAUCCUCACCAUGGAGACGUGACCUUCGAUAAGGAAGAAGGUUUGGAUCUUAGGCUGCCAAAGCAAUGAAAACGUCCACUGAACGGACUGGAAGGAUUCUGAACCAUUGCUCCAAAGAGCAACCUUCCACAGAAUUUUUAGACUAUAAAUAAGAUAGAUUCCUGGCUGUCUGAAAUGCUUAGAUAACAGUUCCUCUGUGAAACAGAGAUGGAUUGAAAUACAAUACGUUCCUGCACUACAAUCAUCUCCUGAAAUGCCAGAAAUACUUCCGUGUCAAUGUCUUAUCAUAAGAAGCCUGAGAGCUGGAAUCUAGAAUUACAAUUCUUUUUCUUUCCCCCAGGAUCUUGCUACAAAGAUUUGGUAAGGAGAUGCAUUUCCUCCCCCAAGUCGGCUGUCUCCAUUUGUAACUGAUACUACAUACAGCA